AAAUACAUUUUGAAAAUGUAAAAGUAAUGAUGUAUUCUUAGCUAACUAGCUACAGUGGAGGCUAACUCAGAUGAGCUGCUAACGUAGCUAGCUAGCUAGCUAUCUAGACAACUUUACAUACUGUACAGCUAGUUAGCUAAGUUAAUUAAAUAUCACCAGCUACUUAACUUCAUAUUAGCUAGCUAUUGUGAUCUAUUUAUCAUUGUAAAAAAUAAAAAAUAGCAUUUGUAGGAAGCUAGCUAAGGAUAGCAGCUCCAACUGAAUAGGGCAGGUACUUUGGUGUAGUUCCAGUCUCUAGAAAGGAGUGAGGACAGAGAUGAUAGUAGCACCAUAAUAUUCAGUGCUGUCUAAUUGAAGUAUAAGGAAGUCUGGUUUUUGUGAUGUUUUCUGUCCUCAGCUACAGAGAGCUAUGGACGCCUGUUGUAUGCAGAUGAAGAGCGGUGGUUCUCAGUCUAGGUCCUGGGGACUCAAAAGGGGUGCACAUUUUUGUUUUUGCUUUAGCACUACACAGCUGAUUCAAAUUAUCAACUCAUCAUCAAGCUUCAAACAGUAUUUAUGUAUUCAUUUUUGAUGCCAUCCUUGAUAUGAACCUUCUGCUGUCACAUUCUACACAUGCAUCUAUCUAUAUUCUAUGUUAUCAUGUUUUGUUAUAAGAGAUAUUAUACUUUCAGUAAUCCACAAUGACCUGAUGAUGUAAAAGUCUAAUAAUGACAUUAUCUUCCAUAUUCCUACAGAUACCUUGCAACUGGAGAUUCCUCCUAAACAAUUCCCUACAGUUACCGUGUAGGGCACCGCACGAUUGGGUGGCCAGGGCCACCUGGGAAUGCCUCGUGGGGAAAUUCAGGCAUGUGUGAAGGCUACCUGUGUCCUGCAUAACUUCAUGAGGAUGGACACGAGGACCAGGAGGGGACCUGCAGCUUGCUGCCGUGUGCCAGAGGAGAGGUCUGCUGCUCUGCAGGAUGUUGCAAGGAUGGGGGCCAACAAUGCAGCACUGGAGGCAAUCCGUGUGGGAAGGCCUUUACCUCCUACUUCCCUGGCAACACCAUAUACCACACUAUGCAUAACCAAAGGCUCUUUUAAGAGCCACCCACCUUGCAAUAAGAGUAUUCUUCCAUUUACUUAGGUAUGUCAACUGCAGUUAUUCCAUUUCCAGUUUCUCUCCCUUUGAUUUAUACUUCUUAAGUGAGGGUGCCGUUUAGGUAAAAUUAUUUUAAAAAAAUUAAAAAAAAUGUUUACCUUAUUUAACGGUGCUGUUCAGGUAAGGGUGAUGUCUGUACAUAAACAAAGAGUCACCCACAUUGAAAAAAAUGUGAACAAUAAGACACCCUACAACCCACACCUACAUUGUGUAUCAAUCUGAUUGAUGGAUUGUAUUGUGCAGUAAGCAGGCUCAGGUGUAUAACUGUGGCUCCUUCCACCUUCAAAGAAUAGGCAAGAGGACCAACCAUGGAGAAUAGUUAGAUCAGCUGUGUCGGUGAACCCCUCCUGCUUCCGAACUGCCUGACACAUAGAGGGCACAGCAUGAUCAGAGGUAUGUUUUGGUGUGAGAGAGGAUGCCAACCCCCAGCCCCGUCAUCGCCACCUCACCGACUCUAAAAUAACCCUCUGGCCAACUGGGGGCCCAAGAAUGGUUAGGAGACACUGUUAGAGACACUUAUGUAAUUGUGAUGACCUGAGAGAAUGUGUAUUUUCAUUAAUCAUAUGCUGUCUUCCCUGCUCCGGUCUUGUCUCUUUCCCUUUCUGUCUAUUACACUUUCUCUCAUGCCUUUCUCCCCACCUCAUCUUUCUUCCUCUGUUUUUAGAAUGCCCACCAGAUGUGCAUUGAAGUACAGAUUGAACUUAUAUUUAUAAUAUUACGUAUUUAUAACAUUUAAACUUGGAUAAUGAACUUCUUCAAUAAAGCUUUUCACAUUC